rnacentral:rRNA from 1 species
GAUGAACGCUAGCGGCAGGCUUAACACAUGCAAGUCGAGGGGUAACAUGAGUGCUUGCACUUGAUGACGACCGGCGCACGGGUGAGUAACGCGUAUAGAAUCUGCCUUAUACAGGAGGAUAGCCUUUAGAAAUGAAGAUUAAUACUCCAUAAUAUUAUAGAUUGGCAUCAAUUUAUAAUUAAAGAUUUAUUGGUAUAAGAUGACUAUGCGUCCUAUUAGUUAGUUGGUAAGGUAACGGCUUACCAAGGCGGCGAUAGGUAGGGGGUCUGAGAGGAUUAUCCCCCACACUGGUACUGAGACACGGACCAGACUCCUACGGGAGGCAGCAGUGAGGAAUAUUGGACAAUGGGCGAGAGCCUGAUCCAGCCAUGCCGCGUGCAGGAAGACUGCCCUAUGGGUUGUAAACUGCUUUUAUACAGGAAGAAACCUACUUACGUGUAAGUAGCUGACGGUACUGUAAGAAUAAGCACCGGCUAACUCCGUGCCAGCAGCCGCGGUAAUACGGAGGGUGCAAGCGUUAUCCGGAAUCAUUGGGUUUAAAGGGUCCGCAGGCGGUCAAUUAAGUCAGAGGUGAAAUCCUAUCGCUUAACGAUAGAACUGCCUUUGAUACUGGUUGACUUGAGUCAUAUGGAAGUAGAUAGAAUAAGUAGUGUAGCGGUGAAAUGCAUAGAUAUUACUUAGAAUACCGAUUGCGAAGGCAGUCUACUACGUAUGUACUGACGCUCAUGGACGAAAGCGUGGGGAGCGAACAGG